rnacentral:rRNA from 1 species
UUAGCGGCGGACGGGUGAGUAACACGUGGAUAACCUACCUAUAAGACUGGGAUAACUUCGGGACACCGGAGCUAAUACCGGAUAACAUGUUGAACCGCAUGGUUCAACAGUGAAAGACGGUCUUGCUGUCACUUAUAGAUGGAUCCGCGCCGCAUUAGCUAGUUGGUAAGGUAACGGCUUACCAAGGCAACGAUGCGUAGCCGACCUGAGAGGGUGAUCGGCCACACUGGAACUGAGACACGGUCCAGACUCCUACGGGAGGCAGCAGUAGGGAAUCUUCCGCAAUGGGCGAAAGCCUGACGGAGCAACGCCGCGUGAGUGAAGAAGGUCUUCGGAUCGUAAAACUCUGUUAUUAGGGAAGAACAAAUGUGUAAGUAACUAUGCACGUCUUGACGGUACCUAAUCAGAAAGCCACGGCUAACUACGUGCCAGCAGCCGCGGUAAUACGUAGGUGGCAAGCGUUAUCCGGAAUUAUUGGGCGUAAAGCGCGCGUAGGCGGUUUUUUAAGUCUGAUGUGAAAGCCCACGGCUCAACCGUGGAGGGUCAUUGGAAACUGGAAAACUUGAGUGCAGAAGAGGAAAGUGGAAUUCCAUGUGUAGCGGUGAAAUGCGCAGAGAUAUGGAGGAACACCAGUGGCGAAGGCGACUUUCUGGUCUGUAACUGACGCUGAUGUGCGAAAGCGUGGGGAUCAAACAGGAUUAGAUACCCUGGUAGUCCACGCCGUANACGAUGAGUGCUAAGUGUUAGGGGGUUUCCGCCCCUUAGUGCUGCAGCUAACGCAUUAAGCACUCCGCC